rnacentral:tRNA from 1 species
AGAGCUUUAGUUUAGUUAAAAUGUCUGUAUUGCAAUCAGGAGAUGUGAUAGUUCGCAAGUUCUG